rnacentral:sRNA from 1 species
CUGCAGUUUGUCACCUGCUUGGCUGGCCCCCUUAACAGUUGAAGCUCUGUUCCUCCUAUGAAAGACUCAGCUACUCUAUCUCCUGGCUGAAGCCUCCAAGCUCCCCGAACACUGUGGUCCCUGAGGCUGUGAGACUCUCUCUUGCAAGUCAGCACCUGAGGAUCCCUGGUCCAAGCUUCAUUCCUCUGGGUCCAAGAACCUAGAAGAAAAGCCUGGAGCCACACACUCACCUGGGUGAAGCCAUAAGGAGGCUUUUCAAGGCCUGACUAAACACCUAAGAGAAGCAACUUAAGGAAGAAAGGACUUAGUUGGAUAACGGCUCAGAGAGUCCACCACAUCAGGGAAGCCUGGUAGCUGGAGUGAGUCAGACCACUGUGGCUGAAGCUUCCCACAUGAUGUGGACCACAAGCAAACAAACAAGAACAAGGAAAUCUGGCCUGUCACUCUCAAUGACUAUCACCAGUGACCCUCCAGUGCCAGCCAUGCUUCCUACUACAAAGGCUCCACAACCUCCCAAAACAGGGGACCAAGGGUUCACACACAUGUGCCUAUAGAGGACACAUCACAGUCAACAUAAGAGUGGAACUGAGACACAGAGUGGAAGCCAGAGGGAAGAACACUGAUCCUACAUCUUAAUAAAUGGCCAUAGAGGGACUGCCACUUGCUAUUAAGUAGCAUGUAAACCUCAGAGACUGUCUGUCAUCUUGUGCUUUAAAGGCUACUUUAAGUGACAAUGUUAAUGAUGUAUCUAGUGAUGACAGUUGGCGAAACAAAGCCCAGCCAUCAGAAGCUUAUUGAAUAUAAGUGUCUAGCACACCGCGAGCCACCCAGCAAUCUAAUGUGGAAAUGCAGAUGUGCCACCAAAGACACAGACAGUUCAUGACCUCACAUGGUGUCUCUGCAGGACACUCACCUGUGUGGAUAUGACAGAGCAUGGGUCAUUUGGACUGCCGAAGGGUGUUGUUUUCCUGGGGAGAUGGCUCAACCAGGAAAAUGUUGGCAGCCUAAGCCUGAGGACCUGAAUUAAGACCCCAGAGCCCAUGUUACAGGGAGUCUGGAGUGACAGUGCAUACUUGGCGUGCUGGUCCUGAGGAGUUGGAGUCAAAGGCAUGCCCAGGGCUCCAGAGCCAGUCAGUUCUGUGAGCUCAAGCUCAAGGAGAGACCUUGUCAUAGAAAACAAGAUGGCGGCUGCUUAGGAAGGACGUUUGAGCUGAUCUCUGUACUUCACUCACACAUGCACACACACACAGGUACACAUUUUAUUUUAGAACCCAUGUUCAUAAAGGAGAGUAGAGAUGGG